rnacentral:rRNA from 1 species
UCGGUAAGGGGUGGGGAGUGCGUUCCAUUAGGUAGUAGGCGGGGUAACGGCCCACCUAGCCGAUGAUGGAUAGGGGUUCUGAGAGGAAGGUCCCCCACAUUGGAACUGCGACACGGUCCAAACUCCUACGGGAGGCAGCAGUGAGGAAUAUUGGUCAAUGGGCGAGAGCCUGAACCAGCCAAGUAGCGUGCAGGAUGACGGCCCUAUGGGUUGUAAACUGCUUUUUGUGCGGGAAUAACGUUGCGUUUCGUGAACGCAAGUGCAUGUACCGUACGAAUAAGGAUCGGCUAACUCCGUGCC